AGAGCGAACGCUGGCGGCAGGCCUAACACAUGCAAGUCGAACGGAUCCUUCGGGAUUAGUGGCGGACGGGUGAGUAACACGUGGGAACGUGCCUUUUGGUUCGGAACAACUCAGGGAAACUUGAGCUAAUACCGGAUGUGCCCUUCGGGGGAAAGAUUUAUCGCCAUUAGAGCGGCCCGCGUCUGAUUAGCUUGUUGGUGAGGUAAAGGCUCACCAAGGCUACGAUCAGUAGCUGGUCUGAGAGGAUGAUCAGCCACACUGGGACUGAGACACGGCCCAGACUCCUACGGGAGGCAGCAGUGGGGAAUCUUGCGCAAUGGGCGAAAGCCUGACGCAGCCAUGCCGCGUGAAUGAUGAAGGUCUUAGGAUUGUAAAAUUCUUUCACCGGGACGAUAAUGACGUACCGGAGAAGAAGCUCCGCUAACUUCGUGCCAGCAGCC
rnacentral:rRNA from 1 species